rnacentral:rRNA from 1 species
AGCGUAGACGGCAUGGCAAGUCUGAAGUGAAAUGCCAGGGCUUAACCCUGGAACUGCUUUGGAAACUGUCUAGCUAGAGUGCAGGAGAGGUAAGUGGAAUUCCUAGUGUAGCGGUGAAAUGCGUAGAUAUUAGGAGGAACACCAGUGGCGAAGGCGGGUUACUGGGCGACAACUGACGGUGAGGCGCGAAAGCGUGGGGAGCAAACA